rnacentral:rRNA from 1 species
UACGUAGGGUGCAAGCGUUAAUCGGAAUUACUGGGCGUAAAGCGUGCGCAGGCGGUUGUGUAAGCCAGAUGUGAAAUCCCCGGGCUUAACCUGGGAAUGGCAUUUGGGACUGCAAGGCUUGAGUGCGGCAGAGGAGACUAGAAUUCCUGGUGUAGCAGUGAAAUGCGUAGAUAUCAGGAGGAAUACCGAUGGCGAAGGCAGGUCUCUGGGCUGACACUGACGCUCAUGCACGAAAGCGUGGGGAGCAAACGGG